rnacentral:rRNA from 1 species
GAUGAACGCUGGCGGCGUGCCUAAUACAUGCAAGUCGAGCGAACAGACGAGGAGCUUGCUCCUCUGACGUUAGCGGCGGACGGGUGAGUAACACGUGGAUAACCUACCUAUAAUACUGGGAUAACUUCGGGAAACCGGAGCUAAUACCGGAUAAUAUAUUGAACCGCAUGGUUCAAUAGUGAAAGACGGUUUUUGUGUCACUUAUAGAUGGAUCUGCGCCGCAUUAGCUAGUUGGUAAGGUAACGGCUUACUAAGGCAACGAUGGGUAGCCGACCUGAGAGAGUGGUAGGCCGCACGAGAAGUGAGACGGGGACAAGGGUCCUAAGAGACGCAGCAGAAGGCUAUCGUCCGCAAUGGGCGGGAGCAUGACAGAGCAACGCCGAGUGAGAGAUAGAGGUCUUCGGAUCGGAAUACUCUGUUACUAGGGGAGAACCACUGUGUAAGUAACUGAGGAGGUCUUGACGGUACCUAAUCAGAAAGCCACGGCUAACUACGUG